rnacentral:misc_RNA from 1 species
GAUGAAGAACGUAGCGAAAUGCGAUACUUGGUGUGAAUUGCAGAAUCCCGUGAACCAUCGAGUGUUUGAACGCAAGUUGCGCCUCAAGCCAUUAGGUUGAGGGCACGUCUGCCUGGGCGUCACAUAUCGUUGCCUGAUGCCAGUUUCCUCGUGAUGGGUGACUGUGCAGGGCGAAUGAUGGCUUCCCGUGAGCAUUGUUGCCUCAUGGUUGGUUGAAAAUUGAGUCCUUGGUAGGGAGCGCCGUGAUAGAUGGUGGUUGAGUGACGAACGAGACCCAAUCAUGUGAGACCCCUACCGAAUUUGGCCUUCAUGACCCACAUGCGUCUUUGGAACGCUCAUGACGAGACCUCAGGUCAGGCGGGGCUACCCGCUGAGUUUAAGCAUAUCAAUAAGCGGAGGA